UACGAAGGGGGCUAGCGUUGCUCGGAAUCACUGGGCGUAAAGCGCACGUAGGCGGGUCUUUAAGUCAGGGGUGAAAUCCUGGAGCUCAACUCCAGAACUGCCUUUGAUACUGAGAAGCUCGAGUCCGGGAGAGGUGAGUGGAACUGCGAGUGUAGAGGUGAAAUUCGUAGAUAUUCGCAAGAACACCAGUGGCGAAGGCGGCUCACUGGCCCGGUACUGACGCUGAGGUGCGAAAGCGUGGGGAGCAAACAGG
rnacentral:rRNA from 1 species